CAGUCGCCGCGGGAAUACGGAGGGUGCAAGCGUUAUCCGGAUUUAUUGGGUUUAAAGGGUCCGUAGGCGGAUCUGUAAGUCAGUGGUGAAAUCUCACAGCUUAACUGUGAAACUGCCAUUGAUACUGCAGGUCUUGAGUAAAUUUGAAGUGGCUGGAAUAAGUAGUGUAGCGGUGAAAUGCAUAGAUAUUACUUAGAACACCAAUUGCGAAGGCAGGUUACUAAGAUUUAACUGACGCUGAUGGACGAAAGCGUGGGGAGCGAACAGGAUUAGAUACCCCAGUAGUCCCUGUCUCUUAUAC
rnacentral:rRNA from 1 species